ACACAACAAAACAAACUGCUCUUCACCUACAUCCUCCCAUCGCUCCCCUGCAGCACACUUGGUUGCAGAUCCCACCGUGCCUGCAGGAGCCAUGCCAGAUUACCAGUCAUGUGGCUGAAAUGUCCCUGGCUGCCAAGGCUGCAUUAAUGCUUUGUCAUUGCACUUGCAGCUAACGAGGCCUAAUGGUCCCUACUUCAAACUGAGUCUUUGGUGAGGGACUUCUAUGCAUUAUUUCUUCACCAGGGCCUCUCUGACCAGUUAAGUGAUAGAUCUGAAAAGCUUGAGGAGGCAGGUGUGUGAGCAGAAAGCAACACACAGCUUUAGUGUUCCUAACUGAGUGGUCCUGCAGCUAGAAGAUGAAGCCAAAGUAGACAAGAAUUCUGCAGACUGCUGAAGGAGAAAGAACAGCUUGGAAGACUGCAAUCCCCAAACACCCCAGAACUAUUUGUGCAGAAGCCCACUCUGACCAGGAGUGGGUCCUCUUGGUGGUCGGUGCUGCAAAGAUUUCAGCAAGAUGUUUCUGUGCAUUGGCCUCCUACAGCUGCCUGAAAACUCCCAGUCUGCUCUGAAGUAGAUAACUACUCAUGAAAACAUUUACAGCAAGUGUAAGGUGAAGGUAGAAGACAAGGCUUUUCAAGUGCACUUAUCAUUGUUCUCAUUACAAGAAGUAAAAGAUAAAGAUAGCUGUAUCUACAUUCUGCACCACUUUUUGUUUGACUUAACUGGCUACCCAACCCCUUUGAAGGCAUCUUUUAUCUUAUUUGUAUGAUAUGAACUGUAAAUGUCUUCCAUGACUUCUGAAUUGUAAAUCCUGCAUCUAUAGUAUCAGAGAGAUCUUACAAGUUGGGUUUUGUUUGUUUGUUUGUUUGUUUUUGUAAUUGUAAUUGGGCCCCUUUUCUUAGGAUGCUGUCAGCUGUAUGCUUAGAAAUGUGCUUAAAAUUAAUGUGCAAAAAAUGAAAAUUUGCAACUGGCACACGAAUAGAUGAAAAUUGCAAACAGAAUAACUGCAUACAUAUAUUUAAGUUGGAAGUUGAAAGUAAAUCUCUGAGGAAAAAAAAUAUGUAAGGCAGCACGAAUGUUACCUUGAUUUGUAAGGUCUUAGUAUACUUUGGUUGGAAUCACACCCCUCAGCUUCUAUAGUCAAGCACAUCCUCAACUUUUUAAGUUGUGAUCAUACUACAGAACUGAAGACUGAUUCAUCUUUGAAACAAAAGUCUUCCAAGGCAAAAGUCUUUUAUCAUAUUAUGAAAUAGCCUUGUGAUAAAAUCUGUAUUAUUUAACCUUGGGUCCACAGCAAUGUCCAGGUCAUUAGUACAAGGUCUAGAAAGAUUAUGAUAGUGAGCAUGUUGUAGACUUCUUUGAAGCAUUCAGUGCCUGCUGAAAUGCCACAGCUCCAGCUCGGAUCCUGCUGCUCCCCUUCCUUGGCUACAUACACUCUGAUAACAGCACCAGUGGGAUUACCUUCAUUUUUACUCACAGUGAUGAGUGACAAAAGAAAAUUGACCUGAAACAGAAGAGGUUGUAAGAGCAGCUUGUUCAUCCCCUGUGUGGAGAGCGGAGCACCUGAACAGGCAGCACUGUAAAUGAUACCUCAGUCCUGCACAAAAUUCCAGUCUCAAAUUCUCUGUUUCCCUGAAGGACCCAUGUCUAUUUUGAAAGAGAAAAAAGUGCCUGUAUGUCUUUUAUUUGCUUACAUAUGGCAAAAAAAGAAAGCUGCAGUGAAUGUUAACUGAUUUAAAAUUUGCUGAAUAGAUGUUCAACUUAUGCUGUUGGAUUUAAUUGUACAAUAAGGUCAGU